rnacentral:rRNA from 1 species
GACGAACGCUGGCGGCGUGCCUAAUACAUGCAAGUAGGACGCAGUUGCGAACGGGUGAGUAACGCGUAGGUAACUGCCUAUUAGAGGGGGAUAACUAUUGGAAACGAUAGCUAAUACCGCAUACUAGUAGAUGGACCUGCGUUGUAUUAGAUAGUAGGUAGGGUAAUGGCCUACCUAGGCGCCGAUACAUAGCCGAGCUGAGAGGGUGAACGGCCAAAAUGGGAAUGAGACACGGCCCAGACUCCCACGGGAGGCAGCAGUAGGGAAUCUUCGGCAAUGGGGGGAAACCUGACCGCGCAACGGCGCGGGAGUGAAGAAGGUUUUCGGAUCGUAAAGCUCUGUUGUUAAGGAAGCGGUACUUAAACAAAAAGGGACGGCUAACUACGUGCCAGCAGCCGCGGUAAUAC